GAUGAACGCUGGCGGCGUGCCUAAUGCAUGCAAGUCGAGCGAACGGACGAGAAGCUUGCUUCUCUGAUGUUAGCGGCGGACGUGUGAGUAACACGUGUAUAACCUACCUAUAAUACUUGUAUAACUUCGGGAAACCGUAGCUAAUACCGGAUAAUAUUUUGAACCGCAUUGUUCAAUAUUGAAAGACGGUCUUGCUGUCACUUAUAGAUGUAUCCGCGCUUCAUUAGCUAGUUGGUAAGGUAACGGCUUACCAAGGCAACGAUGCAUAGCCGACCUGAGAGGGGGAUAGGCGACACGGGAACGGAGACACGGACCAGAGUACUACGGGAGGAAGAAGUAGGGAAUAGUCCGCAAUGGGCGAAAGCAUGACGGAGCAACGCCGCGUGAGUGAUGAAGGUCUUCGGAUCGUAAAACUCUGUUAUGAGGGAAGAACAAAUGUGUAAGUAACUGUGCACAGAUUGACGGUAACUAAUCAGAAAGCCACGGCUAACUACGUG
rnacentral:rRNA from 1 species